rnacentral:rRNA from 1 species
AUGCAGUGUCGGCCGCUCGAUGACAAGGGAGAGAAGAUGACAAGGAAAACUGCUUGCCAGACCAACUUGUCGCGAGAAGAAUACCUGUCACUGGUGAAGGAACCCUGGAUGAAGGACGAUUGUUGGGAGACCCUGGUUGACAUGUGGUGUGACCCAGCAUGGCAGGCGCAGCAUGUGGAGAAGGGAAACGAUCGAGCCAAAAUGACAGGCCCGACUCAUGUCCAGGGGAGCCGGAACCUAACCGCUCUCAAGCAACACAUGGCGAAGGUUGGUCGUCCGGUCCACAUCCUGGAAGCCUGGAGAGAAGGUCACAAGGGGAAGGAUGGCGCCGAGUUCUGCAGCGAGUCGGCGGAGGAGAAGUGGGGGACCUUCAAAGAGGUCUUCCAGGAGGUGCACUGGCAGGAAACCGAACCUACGUCCAAGCCCCUUGAUCCUGAGCUUCUCAUCAUUGCUGGCGAGGGGAAGGGCCAUGGUCGCCACCUCCUUUGCAACGGGGCGAUCGCCACCUCCUCGCAUCGCAAGCUGCACGAGAUAUGCGCUUCGAGCACCAGCUCAACUCCGUCCAUACAGAGUCGCCCAACCGCCGCAUCACGUGAGAUAGCGCGUCUCAAGGAUUUAAUGGAGCAGUGGGCUAUUGAAAAGGAGCAAAGGCGGAAGGAUGAGCAGGAGUCCACAGAAAAGGAAUGGGCAGACAUGAACAAUAGGUUGAAGCUACUUGAGAAUCAACUACAGGUAAUGUACACACUAAUUGACGGAGCCGUCUGUUGCGGAUGGGCAUGCCACGUGGCUCCUCUUUGCCGUGAGCAGCUCUCGGCGUCUGCAAGAGGCCGCGAGGAUCAGCGGGGAGAGCUAGGUGCUCACGGUGGAGGACGAGGAGGUUCUGUCGCCGGAGUUGGAAGCGGUGUCCUGGAUAAAGCAACGGCCGACGAUGAGCGUGGUGGAGAAGAUGGUGUACAGCUUCAUGGCUACCAACUCGCCGGUGAUCAAGUCGUCAGGUUCCUCAGUGAGCUCGUGUCCAAUGUGACAGGAAGGAAGGGGAACCGUAGCCUGGUUCAGUUCUGA